AGGGAAAGAAUUAAAAGCAAUUGCAGACAAAAUCUUAUACUUCCUUUUAACAGGCUGCAGCUGGGGAAGCCAGGGAAGGGAGACAGUAAGUAAGUAGAGUUAGGAGAUUCACACACAACUGUAGGGUGCAGGAGGGAGCAGUGGUUGGGAGGGGGAAGUUUUUGAAGUUAAGGGCUAAGGAAAAUAACAAAAGAUUAUUGGAUUAUUCUUUGUUGAAGUUAGAGACCGAGGAUACAUCUCUCACGAUGAAUGGAGUCCAGAACCUGCUUCCCUGGUGCAUCUGGCAGCAGUCUGAUUGUACAGAGCCACGGUUUAUUCCGCCCUUGUGUUUCUCUUGAGUGUAAGUUAUGAUAUAUCAGCGUUGUCUUUGAGGUCUGCGGAAUCUGUGGAUAUGCAAUACACUGAAGAGUGGAGAUGGAAUGAAGCUGAAAGGAUUCAUGAAUAAAAUGUAAGUGGAUGAUACUUCA
rnacentral:lncRNA from 1 species